rnacentral:rRNA from 1 species
AUGGCCGAGAUUUGCUGCCAGGAAGCCAAGUCGCCGCCGGCGACCGCCGCCACGGUGGCCACGGUCUCGGCGUCGGCGGCCGCUGCGGCCGUCGCCUCGUCGGUGAUGGACAGGCGGCGCCGCAGGUUGGAGCUGAAGCGUUUCCGCCUCGCGAGCGACCUCGAGCAGUCGGCCGCGGAGUACGCCGGCGCCCGCAAGCGGCCGAGGAUACCGCGCACGGUGUCUGGCCCGUGCCCCGACGCUGCCUCGGCGUCCGAGAACACGGAGCGUUACCCAAGGUUCGGGUUCUCCUCUGUAUGCGGUCGUCGUCGCGAGAUGGAGGACGCCGUCUCCAUCAGGCCGGGUUUCCUGCCUGGCUCCGGCAAGUCCCACUUCUUCGGCGUCUUCGAUGGCCACGGCUGCUCACACGUGGCGACGACGUGCCAGGAGCUGAUGCAUGAGGCGGUGGCGGAGGAGCACGAGAAGGCGGGGCCCGGCGAGGAGCCUACGUGGAAGGAGGUGAUGGAGAGGAGCUUCGCGCGGCUGGACGAGCGGGCCGCGAACUGGGCGACCACCCGCAGCAGCGAGGAGCCCGCCUGCCGCUGCGAGCAGAAGAUGCCCUCGCGGUGCGACCACGUGGGAUCCACCGCCGUCGUGGCCGUCGUCAGCCCGACCCAGCUCGUCGUGGCCAACGCCGGCGACUCCCGUGCCGUCCUUUCCCGCGCUGGCGUGCCUGUUGCACUCUCCGUCGACCACAAGCCUGACCGGCCGGACGAGCUGGAGCGCAUCCAGGCGGCGGGCGGGCGCGUCAUCUACUGGGACGGUGCCCGGGUGCUCGGCGUCCUCGCCAUGUCCCGAGCCAUAGGUGAGUUUUCUAGUUCAAAUUUCGCUCUCGUCAGGAGCUUUGCUCUGCCUCCGGGGUCCCGAUCCGAGCCUAACUUGACUUGUACGCGCGCAGGGGAUGGCUACCUGAAGCCGUUCGUGACGGCUGAGCCGGAGGUGACCGUGACGGAGCGCAGCGACGCCGACGAGUGCCUGAUCCUGGCCAGCGACGGGCUGUGGGACGUGGUGACCAACGAGAUGGCGUGCGACGUCGCCAGGGCGUGCUUCCGGAGCAACGGCCCUCCAGAGCCGGCCACGGCUCAGGCGCAGCCGAGCGGCGAGGCCAAGGCGAGCGAGGGGGUGAGCAAGGCGGAGUCCGACCGGGCGUGCUCCGACGCGGCCAUGCUGCUGGCGAAGCUGGCGCUGGCGCGGGGGAGCUCCGACAACGUCAGCGUCGUGGUCGUGGAUCUACGCCGGGGAUCGUGA